UUACAGAGGUCUCAAGCGUUUUUUUUUUUUUGUCGGAUUUCAUUUGGGCGUAAAGGGUGCGUAGGCGGCGCGGUAAGUCGGGUGUGAAAUCUCGGAGCUUAACUCCGAAACUGCAUUUCGAUACUGCCGUGCUUGAGGACUGGAGAGGAGACUGGAAUUUACGGUGUAGCGGUGAAAUGCGUAGAUAUCGUAAGGAAGACCAGUGGCGAAGGCGGGUCUCUGGACAGUUUCCUGAC
rnacentral:rRNA from 1 species